rnacentral:rRNA from 1 species
CCUACGGGAGGCAGCAGUGGGGAAUAUUGGACAAUGGGCGAAAGCCUGAUCCAGCCAUGCCGCGUGUGUGAAGAAGGUCUUCGGAUUGUAAAGCACUUUAAGUUGGGAGGAAGGGCAGUUACCUAAUACGUGAUUGUUUUGACGUUACCGACAGAAUAAGCACCGGCUAACUCUGUGCCAGCAGCCGCGGUAAUACAGAGGGUGCAAGCGUUAAUCGGAAUUACUGGGCGUAAAGCGCGCGUAGGUGGUUUGUUAAGUUGGAUGUGAAAUCCCCGGGCUCAACCUGGGAACUGCAUUCAAAACUGACUGACUAGAGUAUGGUAGAGGGUGGUGGAAUUUCCUGUGUAGCGGUGAAAUGCGUAGAUAUAGGAAGGAACACCAGUGGCGAAGGCGACCACCUGGACUGAUACUGACACUGAGGUGCGAAAGCGUGGGGAGCAAACAGGAUUAGAUACCCUUG